AUUCACAGGGCAGGGAUGCCAGGGUGGAAAGUAGCUGUCUGAAGAAGUUAUGGGUCAAAGAGUCCCAGAUCUUUGUGGAGUGACUGGGACAGGGGGAUAGCUGCCACUUAAAUAGCAAGGUCAGUGUUUCGUCAAGAGGUCCCUUCUACAGAGCCCCGGCCUCAUCCUUCACCUAUGUCUCUCUGAACAAUUGGGAACUAAAUGGCUGCUGCUGCAGGGCUUUGAUGUUUCUGACUCUCCCAAGACACCGGGACACUUCUCUAAACCAUCGCAAUCACCUCGACGUUGACCCAAAAGACACAGCCCAGUGAUUCUGGACUUCCUGAUCUGCUUUCAGGCUGCUGAAGGCCAGGACACUCAGAACCAUGUGACCAGACUUUUAUGUGCUCAAGACUGUUAAUCUCCUUAAUUGAAAUUGAUUGGCCUCCUGGGACCCAGCUCUGCCCUGGCCCUGAGCUUCAGCAGGAAAGAAAGCACGCAUACAAAGUUAGACAUGGUGGCACAUGUCCCAGCACUCCAGAAGCAAAGAGAAGGAACGAGAGUUCAAGACCAGCCAGGACCAAAACAGCAAGUUCCAAACCAUGCCGAGGCCCCUGGUGGAUUCAAGGGCUUGGAUUUGAG
rnacentral:lncRNA from 1 species